ACAUACGACCACAGGACAUUGAAAAUAGAGCUUCCCGUUCGCUCAGCUGUACUCAAGCAGUGUACCGGCGGAUUAGUAGUCAGGUGGGUGACCACUGGCGAAUCCCCGCUGUUGUAUGUU
rfam:Stemphylium lycopersici strain CIDEFI 216 scaffold181, whole genome shotgun sequence.